rnacentral:rRNA from 1 species
UGCAGUCGUACGAGAACGCCAUCUUCGGAUGGUUAUUAGAGUGGCAAACGGGUGAGUAACGCGUGGGUAACCUGCCUCGAGGUCUGGGAUAACUCCGGGAAACUGGGGCUAAUACCGGAUAAGACCACGAGUUCCUCGGAACAUGUGGGAAAAGAUGGCCUCUUCUUGAAAGCUAUCGCCAUGAGAUGAGCCCGCGUCCCAUUAGCUUGUUGGUGAGGUAACGGCUCACCAAGGCUCCGAUGGGUAGCUGGUCCGAGAGGACGAUCAGCCACACUGGAACUGAGACACGGUCCAGACUCCUACGGGAGGCAGCAGUCGGGAAUUUUGGGCAAUGGGCGCAAGCCUGACCCAGCGACGCCGCGUGAGCGAUGAAGGCCCUCGGGUCGUAAAGCUCUGUCAGAAGGGAAGAUGGGAGCAAGUGCGAAUAGUCCUUGUUCUUGACGGUACCUUCAAAGGAAGCGCCGGCUAACUCCGUGCCAGCAGCCGCGGUAAUACGGAGGGCGCAAGCGUUGUUCGGAAUCACUGGGCGUAAAGCGCGUGUAGGCGGUCAGGAUAGUCGGAUGUGAAAUCCCGAGGCUCAACAUCGGAACUGCAUUCGAAACUGCCUGGCUAGAGUCUCGGAGAGGGUGGCGGAAUUCCCGGUGUAGGGGUGAAAUCCGUAGAUAUCGGGAGGAACACCAGUGGCGAAGGCGGCCACCUGGACGAUGACUGACGCUGAGACGCGAAAGCGUGGGGAGCAAACAGGAUUAGAUACCCUGGUAGUCCACGCCGUANACGGUGAGUGCUAGACGUCGCGGGUAUUGACCCCCGCGGUGUCGGAGCUAACGCGUUAAGCACUCCGCCUGGGGAGUA